CCUGCCCCAAAUCUCUUCUCUCUCUGAUUCCCGAUUCCACUGUGCCAGUGGGAAUAUAUGCUCCCCAAGAUGUCAAAACUAAAGGGAAAUUGAAAAAAAAAAUCUUUUUAGAGAAGGGAAAAUAAGAUUAUAAAAAGUGUGUUUUGUACCCCCCAAGUUUCACUAAGAACUUCCUGACUUCCAGGCCCUGGUGUGCCCCACUCACCAGCCUGGCCAGCUUUCCUAGACCAAACUUCCUAGCACCUAAGCAGGGGAUGAGGGCAGAUAAACUAAAUCAGAAAAGGGAUCUGUUCCUCCUAGACUCAACCAACAUGACCACCGUGGAGAAAGAAGGAAACAAAAACAAGAGCAAACUCUCUUAAAGAACAACCUGGCAUCUAUCACCGUUAGCAUUCAGCCCCUCUGUCCACAGGACUCAGGACCAAGCCUCUCACCUUCAUUAUCUCAUCCAUUUCCCAAGAAGCAGGAAUUCUUUUUCUCACAUUUCACAGAUGGGGAAGCUGAGGCUAGGAGAGGUUAUGUUAUUUGCCAAAGUCACACAACUAGUAAAAGCCACUGACAAGAUUCAGGCUCAGGCCAUCAGGUGCCAGAGGCAGCAUUUUUUGGCACCAUAGGCCCUGCCUGGGGACAAGAGCAUGCAGAAAAUCUCGUAAGAGAUGAGAACAAAACUCGGAAAAUUGCUAGCAUGCAGGGAGGGGGCAUGCAGGGAGGGGGGAAGGUGUGAUUUCCUGCUACAGACGCCAGAGUAAAAGCCACCCCAGGAGUGCCUGUGCAGCCCUCCAUAGUAAGGUCCAGCGGUUGCAUUUAUGCCCAAAGAUGCCCCUGGUGCUUGGAGUGGAAGGAAGAUUCCAGAGACAAGAUUGGAAGCUUCUCGGCUUAGCAGUUCUAGGGCUGGACCCUCCAACAAGCCAUUUUACACAUACAGCAGUCAAUGGGGGGGAGUGGACGUAGGGGGCUAAAAUGCCCACAGCACAGGGUCCAAGUCGGCAGACUGCACUUUCUCCACGUCCAGGGUCCGCUAGUGCCGGCAUCGGGGACUCAACCCCGGGUGCACAGAGCCCGGCACACACCACUGGAGAGGGAUUCCUGCUGUUGAGGGUUGAGAGGAGGGUAUGGAGUCCCCCGAACAGCACGACAGGGUUCAGGGGCCACCUGGCAAGGCCUGAAUGCCGAGGCCUCUGUGAGCUUGGGUCGGGCCAGCUUCCCACUUCGGAGGUUGGGGAGGGCGUCGUGGGCCUCUGCGUUCCCAGGCCAAGCCGCCCUGGAGGCAUGGACUAGCAGGACGCCGAGGUGGCGCGGGUCGCGGCCUCUCCCGCAGCAGCUGUCGGCGAGAACCAGGCAGGGAGGCGCCGCUGCUGACUGCACCUCAUGAAACAUUCACGCCCGGCUGCCGCGCUGCCAUCUCCCGGCACCUUGCGCCCGAAACGGUCGCUCUGGAGCCCGUGGCCGUCCGCGGCCGUCCCUGAGAGGGUCAGGCCACAGCUCGACCUGCCCUGUGGUCCCAUCCCAGAAUCCCAGCAGCAAGCAGGCUCAGGCUGGGCACUUCGGGGUACCAGGAGUAGGUUCGGCCAACUGGUUUCCCCCAUGAGGCUUCGCGCACAGGGUUAUCUGGCCACGGGGCAACGCUGGGGAGCCCUGUGGCCUGAGGAUGGGCAAAGGGCAGGCUCCCAGUUCCCUUGCGUCCAGUCCAUCUCCCAGUGGCAGCCAGCCAGGAACAGGCCUGCGGGGCCACGGAGGUGGAGGCGUCACCGUUCGCAGGCUCGGAGCAGGAUGGCCGCUGGGGGAUGUGCAGGCAUAGGGGUUGGACAAGGGGCCCCAGAAGUGUCUGUCCUGAGGGGUUGGUCUGCCCUUUCCUCACCAGCCCAGCCCCUGAGGAGAGAGAAGGAGGCAAUCCCCCAAACAGGGCAGGUCGGGUGGUUGCCCCUCCCUAGCACCCCCUACUCCCAAACACAGAAACCCUGGGGUCUGUCCUCAAACCUCCCUGGCUGCUACGCUCUGGGCAGCGGACUCUCCCUGCCAACACGCAAGACCAGCUCCCUCCCGCAGGCUGAGCAGAAAGAAGAAAGGUCCAAUCUCAAAACCCCCGACUCGACCACCAGCCCCUGUCUAAACGGAAGUAGGGCCAGCCCCUCACAAGUCAGGUGGGAAACUGGGCCCAGGGAGAGAAAGUGCGCCAGGGCCAGGCUGGGACCCGCUGCGGCUUGGUCCGCAUGCGGCCGGGCGCCUCCACGGAGGUCCCAGGGCGAGCUCCCGGGCCUCGACACCCGGCCGCCAGCCACGCGGACCCCAGCCUGCGCCCCGAGGGAGGCCGGGACCCCUAGCCGGCGGGACUGCGCGCCGCCCCUCUCCCCUCAGGUCCCGGCGAGCGCCUAGCUUCCCCUCCCCCGCUUCCCGCCUCCCGGCCGGUGUCCCCGCCUUCCCCGCGGGCGACGGGCGGCGGCGGCAGGAGGAGCGGGCCGAGCCGAGGCCGCCCCGGCCUCGCGCGCUGGGAUGUAGCGAACCAGCAGGGGUCGAAGAACCGUGCAGUGCCAGAGCCAGAGCUGGAUCCGGGUCCCACAGCCGGAGCCGAAACCUGAGCCAGAGUCCGCGGCGGGCGAGCCCGGAGCCAACGAGCCGCAGACACAGCGCUGCCCAGGUGGGGUCGCAGCCAGGGCGGCGGG